rnacentral:lncRNA from 1 species
GCAUCUAUGCAGCUAUUGCACGCCUGCAGUGGCUGGUGUGGGUGAUGCUCGCUGUUGCUACUGUUGCAAUCGCUGGGCUGAUACAUGUCCUGGACAGUGAGUGUACUGCAGCGCGUGUCCAUGUCGCGUAUUUGGCAGAAGACGCUUCCUUCAUUACUUCUUAUUUGCUCCAGGGGUGCUCCUCGUUGCAGCGCUGCAGCGUUCCCUGAUUCGGCCCGCCUCGAUCGUUAUCUUGGAUUUGCCUAGCUGGGGCCCGCGGAUCAUCCGGAAUAGAAAACAAAUUUGCUUCAUGGCGCUUGUUGCCCCGCUGGAAGGCCAAAACGUAGAGGUAGUAGGACGAC